rnacentral:rRNA from 1 species
AUUGAACGCUGGCGGCAGGCCUAACACAUGCAAGUCGAGCGGAUGAAGGGAGCUUGCUCCUGGAUUCAGCGGCGGACGGGUGAGUAAUGCCUAGGAAUCUGCCUGGUAGUGGGGGAUAACGUCCGGAAACGGGCGCUAAUACCGCAUACGUCCUGAGGGAGAAAGGGGGGGAUCUUCGGACCUCACGCUAUCAGAUGAGCCUAGGUCGGAUUAGCUAGUUGGUGGGGUAAAGGCCUACCAAGGCGACGAUCCGUAACUGGUCUGAGAGGAUGAUCAGUCACACUGGAACUGAGACACGGUCCAGACUCCUACGGGAGGCAGCAGUGGGGAAUAUUCGACAAUGGGCGAAAGCCUGAUCCAGCCAUGCCGCGUGUGUGAAGAAGGUCUUCGGAUUGUAAAGCACUUUAAGUUGGGAGGAAGGGCAGUAAGUUAAUACCUUGCUGUUUUGACGUUACCAACAGAAUAAGCACCGGCUAACUUCGUG